AUUGAACGCUGGCGGCAGGCCUAACACAUGCAAGUCGAGCGGAUGAAGGUAGCUUGCUCCUGGAUUCAGCGGCGGACGGGUGAGUAAUGCCUAGGAAUCUGCCUGGUAGUGGGGGAUAACGUCCGGAAACGGGCGCUAAUACCGCAUCCGUCCUGAGGGAGAAAGUGGGGGUUCUUCGGACCUCACGCUAUCAGAUGAGCCUAGGUCGGAUUAGCUAGUUGGUGGGGUAAAGGCCUACCAAGGCGACGAUCCGUAACUGGUCUGAGAGGAUGAUCAGUCACACUGGAACUGAGACACGGUCCAGACUCCUACGGGAGGCAGCAGUGGGGAAUAUUGGACAAUGGGCGAAAGCCUGAUCCAGACAUGCCGCGUGUGUGAAGAAGGUCUUCGGAUUGUAAAGCACUUUAAGUUGGGAGGAAGGGCAGUAAGUUAAUACCUUGCUGUUUUGACGGUACCAACAGAAUAAGCACCGGCUAACUUCGUG
rnacentral:rRNA from 1 species